GCUAAUAAUAGAAGUCUUGUUGUAUUUUUUUCUUCUUUAUCUCUUUUGCCGACAACGACGUCGUUCUGACCAUCGGCGCCGUUAUCCGAUGGCGAACCUCCAACAACGAAGAUUAGAAAAUACUAGUAUAAAUAUCAUUCACAAUGGCCCCGCUUGGAAAACACAACAGAAAGCGAUAGAAAGUUACCGUCACCGUUCUCUCUCACUAACUUUCUAUCUCACACGCCAUUAACGCAUUCAAUUUCUAUUUUUCUCUCUCACUCUCACACACACACAUUAGUGUUAGUGUCGGUUCCCAACUUCGAUUCACGCGCACAGUACCGACGCAACAUCUCUCUCUCUCUCUCGUGAUGGAUUUCGACUAGCAUUGCGCUGUGAACCCUUGCGAGCUCACUCUCCAACCAGAUCGAAGUUUGUUUUCGCUCUCCGAUUUGCAAUGACGCCGAGGAGAGGGUUUUCCUUCGC